rnacentral:rRNA from 1 species
CGAACGCUGGCGGCGUGCCUAAUACAUGCAAGUAGAACGCUGAAGGAAGGAGCUUGCUCUUUCUGGAUGAGUUGCGAACGGGUGAGUAACGCGUAGGUAACCUGCCUGGUAGCGGGGGAUAACUAUUGGAAACGAUAGCUAAUACCGCAUAAAAUUGAUUAUUGCAUGAUAGUCAAUUAAAAGGUGCAACUGCACCACUACCAGAUGGACCUGCGUUGUAUUAGCUAGUUGGUGGGGUAACGGCUCACCAAGGCGACGAUACAUAGCCGACCUGAGAGGGUGAUCGGCCACACUGGGACUGAGACACGGCCCAGACUCCUACGGGAGGCAGCAGUAGGGAAUCUUCGGCAAUGGACGGAAGUCUGACCGAGCAACGCCGCGUGAGUGAAGAAGGGUUUCGGAUCGUAAAGCUCUGUUGUAAGAGAAGAGCGAGUGUGAGAGUGGAAAGUUCACACUGUGACGGUAUCUUACCAGAAAGGGACGGCUAACUACGUG